rnacentral:rRNA from 1 species
UAAAGGUAUUGACGGAAGGGCACCACAAGGAGUGGAGCUUGCGGCUUAAUUUGACUCAACGCGGGGCAACUCACCCGGUCCGGACACCGCGGGGAUUGACAGAUUGAUAGCUCUUUCUUGAUUCGGUGGGUGGUGGUGCAUGGCCGUUCUUAGUACGUGGUGCAAACUGUCAGGUUAAAUCCGCUAACGUACGCGACUCUAGCCUAUUUACUAGAGCUGGACGAUGAUAAUAAGUCGCCGAUGCGAGGAACUUCUUAGGGGGAUCCAUUGCGUGGGAGAAGCGGAUGAAAUAGAGCAAUAACAGGUCUGUGAUGCCCUUAGAUGUUCGGGGCCGCACGCGCGCUACACUGAAAAGGAAAGAGGGUGUCCGAGUAUGAGCCGGGCGCGCGAGCCGCCUUAGAGAAAUCUUAGAAACCUUAUCGUGCUAGGGAUUAGGGUUUGGAACUGUUGCCUAUCAACGAGGAAUUCCAAGUAAGUGCGAGUGACUAGCUUGCGUUGAUCAAGUCCCUGCCCUUUGUACACACCGCCCGUCGCUACCACUGAGCUAGCGGCUUA